CAUAUUAUGAGAUCAUUUCAUCUCGUCUCCUUCUCUCUCUCAGUCUCGCUGCUCGGAGGAGCUUCAGACGAAGAAGAGCAGAAAUUCCGGCCGGCCAUAAAUCGGCCUCUCUCAAUUCACAGCUAUGGAUAAUGGCAUAAGUGAAAGGCUGCUUAGUUCUGAAGUAGAUAAGACAAAUGAUGAUCUGAAAGUUAGGGUAUACGAUGAAUCAAGGAAGAUAUGGAGAGUUGCAUUGCCAGGUGUACUCUCACGGGUGGCUUCAUUUGGAAGCAUAGUAGUCACACAGUCAUUCAUUGGCCACAUCGGUGAACUUGAUCUCGCCGGUUAUGCUCUUGUUCAAACUCUCACCGUCCGAUUUGUGAAUGGAAUAUUGUUAGGAAUGUCGAGUGCAACAGAAACUCUAUGUGGGCAAGCAUAUGGAGCCGGGCAGUAUCAUAUGAUGGGGAUUUACUUGCAAAGAUCAUGGAUUGUUGAUUUGGUGACAUUGACAAUCCUGCUCCCCUUUUUCAUCUUUGCCACCCCAAUCUUCAAACUUCUUGGACAGGCAGACUCUAUUGCAGGCGCUGCUGGAUAUGUUUCUUAUUGGUUCAUUCCCUUCAUCUACAACUUCGUGUUUAGCUUGACCAUCCAAAUGUAUCUCCAAGCACAACAAAAGAACAUGAUCAUCGCGUGGCUAUCUGUCGCGCAAUUCGUCAUCCACAUCCCACUCUCUUGGUUGUUAGUUUACCAGUUCGAGUUUGGGGUUCCGGGUGCAAUGCUUGCCCUCACCAUAUCCUCCUGGUCCGUUGUGAUCGGUGAGUUUGUGUACAUAUUUGGCGGCUGGUGCCCAAACACAUGGAGGGGAUUUACAAAGGAUGCCUUCAAAGAUAUAUUCCCUGUUGUCAAGCUCUCCAUAUCAUCAGGAGUUAUGGUUUGUUUGGAGCUAUGGUACAAUGCUGUAUUAGUCCUACUAGCUGGAUAUAUGAAGAAUGCAGAGGUUGCCAUAUCAGCCUUCUCCAUCUGCCUUAACAUUAAUGGAUGGGAGUUCAUGAUUAGCCUAGGCUUCCUUGGCGCUGCUUGUGUACGUGUCGCGAAUGAACUUGGAAGAGGGGAUGCGAAAGCUACGCGAUUUUCUAUCAAAGUACUCGUAUCUACUUCAAUUGUAGUUGGAUUAUUCUUCUGGGUUUUGUGCCUGGCAUUUGGGAGCAAAAUUGGAUACUUGUUUACCAACGAAAAGGAGGUUGCAGAUGCCGUGGCAGACCUCUCUAUGCUCCUCGCAUUCUCUGUAUUGCUCAAUAGCAUUUAUCCAGUACUCUCAGGUGUGGCAGUUGGAGCAGGCUUACAAAGCACAGUUGCAAUUAUAAACCUGUGUUGCUAUUAUCUUAUUGGAAUACCGAUUGGUGCUGUGCUUGGCUAUGUAGCUAAUCUUGAAGUGCAGGUACGUAGGGUAUAUGGCUUGGAAUGAUUUGUGGGGUGGUCACGCAAUCACUUGCCUUGUGCUACAUGACAUGGAAAACAGAUUGGGAUAACGAGGUGGCAAAGGCUAAACAGCGCCUCCAGAAGUUUUACUUGAAGUCUGAUGAGUCUAAUCAACUAGCUUGAGGUUCAGGAUAAUAAAAAAUAUUUAUAAAAUUUUUGUUCUCUUUAUGCAAAUUUCUUCACCGUUUAAUAAGGAAAUAAAAGAUUUGAGGUUAAUUAUUAGUUCAAUAUUAAAUUCAUUUGGUAUUAUUUAUCAA